rnacentral:sRNA from 1 species
GUUUGCACUCAUCGGGGAAGGGUGAGAACCUUCGACUAAGGUUCGAUUCGAGCGAAAGCGAGAGAACGUUGCCACAGGCAACGGCCCGGAGGGUGAGGAGCGAAGCGACGAAUAAUCCUUCCCCCACCACCA